GUCAGUAACCCCACGGCUAAAGCCGGGGGCUUGAGGAAACGAAAGCCUUUACUGACUACCCUAAGUGCUUCGAGCACUACGUUACCUGAGAAUAUAUAGGCACCGGCGGACGUGAGUCCGAAUCCGCCGCUCUGC
rnacentral:sRNA from 1 species